rnacentral:lncRNA from 1 species
AAAACUAUGAUACUUUGGCGUUUAAGUAUAUUAGACGAUAUCCUCUGAGUCUUAAUGUGCAUAUUAGCAUUAGGAAGUAUAAAAACACUUUGAAAUGGGUUAGAAAAGGUUUCAUGCAUUAAAAAUAAAUUUUUAUGGGAAAAACAGUAUACAGGUCAACACAUACGUGUAAGACCAUAAUUUUGACCCUAAGAUCCCUCAUGGCAUCAUGUUAUUGCACAAGUGUAUUGCCUCAAGGAUCAUAGCAUGUUUGGCUCCAUAACCCUAGGGUUGG